GGGAAGAAGCAACAAAAGCUGCCCUCUUUGCACCUCUGUGAGCAGAAACUGCAAUCAAACGCCAUUUGCAGCAACAUGGAUGGCCCUAAAGAUUGUCAUACUGAAUGAAUGCUGCGGAUUGUGUGUUCACAGAGUCACAGACCAACGAUCUCAGUAGUGGCGCUGGGUGCUCCCGUUGCUGUGUUCCUCCGCGGCCGUGCCUGCUUCCUGAGCGGGACCAUGAAGGACGUUCGCAGUAGAGUUUUCUGUCGGCAAUUACUAC
ensembl:lncRNA